rnacentral:rRNA from 1 species
UACGUAGGUGACAAGCGUUGUCCGGAUUUACUGGGCGUAAAGAGCGUGUAGGCGGCCAGGUAGGUCGGACGUGAAAGUCCAGGGCUCAACCCUGGGAUGCCGGUCGAUACUGCCCGGACUAGAGUUCGGAAGAGGCGAGUGGAAUUCCCGGUGUAGCGGUGAAAAUGCGCAGAUAUCGGGGAGGAACACCUAUGGGCGAAGGCAGCUCGCU